AGGGAAGUGUUAGGUUGGCGCAAAAGCAAUUGAGGUUUUUGCAUAAAAAGUAAUGGCAAAAACCACAAUUACUUUUGCACCAAACUAAUAAAA
rnacentral:miRNA from 10 species